GAUGAAGAACGCAGCGAAAUGCGACAAGUAAUGUGAAUUGCAGAAUUCCGUGAAUCAUCGAAUCUUUGAACGCACAUUGCGCCCGCCAGCAUUCUGGCGGGCAUGCCUGUUCGAGCGUCAUUUCAACCCUCGAGCCCGACUUCCUUGCGGAGGACGGCUCGGCGUUGGGGGACGGCACACUCCCCCCGGCUCGCCGGGGACGCCGCCCCCGAAAUUCAGUGGCGGCCCUCGGAGGCGACCUCUGCGUAGUAACUCAACCUCGCAAAGGGAAGCUCCGAGCGGCCACGCCGUGAAACCCCAACUAUAUCAAGGUUGACCUCGAAUCAGGUAGGACUACCCGCUGAACUUAAGCAUAUCAAUAAGCGGAGGA
rnacentral:misc_RNA from 1 species